UGUAGCAUACCCAAAAUAUUCGUCUAUGCAAUUCUGCCAUAUCUUGGUCAAGAUCUUUGUCUGUACUUUCUUUGUGUAAAUUUAAAUCCUUAACCAUCAAACAAACUUGACCGCAAAGUUUUUUGCAGAGAUUGUACAACGACAGAUGACUUGCGAACUGAAUCAUGAUCACUAAUGCUUGAAUUUUUUCGAGUUGCGGUGUGAGAAAAAAGCCAGGUCUUUGAAUUAGAAACCAGGAAGUAGCAAAAAAAGACUCCGCCAAUUUACUAUUAUCGACUCUUUUGUCUCGAGAUACAGCCAAAGCCAAAAUAGCAUAGAACGAGACAAUCCAGGCACCCUUGACCAAAUUCUUGUCUAUAUAUAACUUUUCAAAGCUUUCCAUGUACUGUUUCUUAUAAAAUAUAGGCCAAUUACAAUUGAUAAAUCUGAAAUACCAAUCCAAGCAUGUUUUAGCCCAAUCUUUGUCUGGAACAUCUCGAAAGGCACUUUUCCAAGUAGGAAAGCUAUGGGGGAAUAAAUCGUUGCUGCUAAAUCCAUUAGAAAAAAAAUUGGUUCUCAUAGUGUAUGCCUGCAAUUUUGAAUCCACGAGAGCCCCUGCACUCAAAAUCUGUGAAAC